GCGCACCAGGCGAGAAACCUCCGCAAUGCGCGAAAGCGCGACGGGGCCACCCCGAGUGCCGCCCGCUGAGGGCGGCUUUUCCCCGGUGUAGACAGCCGGGGAAGUAAGGGGAGGGCAAGUCUGGUGUCAGCCGCCGCGGUAAUACCAGCUCCCCGAGUGGUGGGGACGAUUAUUGGGCCUAAAGCGUCCGUAGCCGGCCCGGCAAGUCUCCUGUUAAAUCCAGCGAUCUAAUCGCUGGACUGCGGGAGAUACUGUCGGGCUAGGGGGCGGGAGGGGCCGGCGGUAUUCCCGGGGUAGGGGUGAAAUCCUAUAAUCCCGGGAGGACCACCAGUGGCGAAGGCUGCCGGCUGGAACGCGCCCGACGGUGAGGGACGAAAGCCGGGGGAGCGAACCGGAUUAGAUACCCCGGUAGU
rnacentral:rRNA from 1 species